rnacentral:rRNA from 1 species
CAGUAGCCGCGGUAAUACAGAGGGUGCAAGCGUUAAUCGGAAUUACUGGGCGUAAAGUGCGCGUAGGUGGUUCGCCAAGUUGGAUGUGAAAUCCCCGGGCUCAACCUGGGAACUGCAUCCAAAACUGGUGAGCUAGAGUACGGUAGAGGGUAGUGGAAUUUCCUGUGUAGCGGUGAAAUGCGUAGAUAUAGGAAGGAACACCAGUGGCGAAGGCGACUACCUGGACUGAUACUGACACUGAGGUGCGAAAGCGUGGGGAGCAAACAGGAUUAGAUACCCCUGUAGUCCCUGUCUCUUAUAC